rnacentral:rRNA from 1 species
UACGUAGGGUGCAAGCGUUAAUCGGAAUUACUGGGCGUAAAGCGUGCGCAGGCGGUUGUGCAAGACAGAUGUGAAAUCCCCGGGCUCAACCUGGGAAUUGCGUUGGAGACUGCAAGGCUAGAAUCUGGCAGAGGGGGGUAGAAUUCCACGUGUAGCAGUGAAAUGCGUAGAGAUGUGGAGGAACACCGAUGGCGAAGGCAGCCCCCUGGGUCAAGAUUGACGCUCAUGCACGAAAGCGUGGGGAGCAAACAGG